rnacentral:lncRNA from 1 species
GAGAGAAGGAGGUGAGAAUUGAAAUUGGUUUUUGGGGCCAAAAAAGGACUGCCUUGUGGAAAUAUAUACAUAGAUAAUUGGGCAACAAUUGGUCAAAAAAAUUGGGAAGUAAUAUAGGGUUGAAUUGGGAUAUUUUCUUGGAGAAUAUUACACGCCAACUAUGGGAGAGAAGAAGGUAGAGAGCUGAUGGGAAAGAAGACAUAACACACGGCUGUAAUUUUCAAUUCAAAUUGGAGAAAAUCAUAGGAGAGGAGGCUACCUGAGACUACAUAAACAUAUAUAAACGUGCAUAUCGGCAAAAUAAAGGGCAGAAAAACCUACAGCAAAGUGGAGGAAUUGAAAAGGAAUUGGGCGGCUGCCAAGAGGAGGAAAGGUGCUGCUGUAAUUACAAAACGGGGUUGGAAUUUGGAGGAAAAUAUUGAGGUUUGUGCUGAAUUUAUAUACAUACACCCAACAAACAUAAAAAGGCAUACUGGCAGCCAAAAAUUGGGAAGAAUUAUACACGUAGAAAGCUGAAAAUUGGAAGAAAAAUGCAGCUUUAAUUGGGGAAUUAAUCACGCUCAGUCGAUUCUCGGUGAUGUCUUUCUACUUUUAUUUGUUUAAUCCCAACAUGAUGCUAGGCCAAAUCUUUUCAUCUAUUGGAAGGAUGACAAAAUUGUUUAAUUCUUAGUUUUAAUUCUAGACUUGGUAUUUUUAUCUUAAUUCUUGUAUUGUGAUUCCAUUGACAUGUAUAGUUAUAUUGUUUUAAUGUUUGCGUACCAUUAGGGCAAUAA